rnacentral:rRNA from 1 species
GAGUUUGAUCGUGGCUCAGAACGAACGCUGGCGGCAGGCCUAACACAUGCAAGUCGAACGCACUCUUCGGAGUGAGUGGCAGACGGGUGAGUAACACGUGGGAACCUACCCGGUGGUACGGAAUAACUCGGGGAAACUCGAGCUAAUACCGAAUACGCCCUUAGGGGAAGAUUUAUCGCCAUCGGAAGGGCCCGCGCCGGAUUAGCUAGUUGGUGGGGUAAUGGCCUACCAAGGCUACGAUCCGUAGCUGGUCUGAGAGGAUGACCAGCCACACUGGGACUGAGACACGGCCCAGACUCCUACGGGAGGCAGCAGUGGGGAAUCUUGGACAAUGGGGGAAACCCUGAUCCAGCCAUGCCGCGUGAGUGAAGAAGGCCCUAGGGUUGUAAAGCUCUUUCGGCGGGGACGAUAAUGACGGUACCCGCAGAAGAAGCCCCGGCUAACUCCGUGCCAGCCGCCGCGGUAAC